rnacentral:rRNA from 1 species
GAUGAACGCUGGCGGCGUGCUUAACACAUGCAAGUCGAACGGAGUUCCUUGGAUAGAGGCUUCGGCCAAUUGAAUUGGAACUUAGUGGCGGACUGGUGAGUAACGCGUGAGGAACCUGCCUUUCAGAGGGGGACAACAGCUGGAAACGGCUGCUAAUACCGCAUGACACAUUUGGGUGGCAUCACUUGAAUGUCAAAGAUUUUAACGCUGAAAGAUGGCCUCGCGUCUGAUUAGCUAGUUGGUGAGGUAACGGCCCACCAAGGCGACGAUCAGUAGCCGGACUGAGAGAUUGAUCGGCCACAUUGGGACUGGGAUACGGCCCAGACUCCUACGGAAGGCAGCAGUGGGGAAUAUUGGGCAAUGGACGCAAGUCUGACCCAGCAACGCCGCGUGAAGGAAGAAGGCUUUCGGGUUGUAAACUUCUUUUAUCAGGGAAGAGUAGAAGACGGUACCUGAUGAAUAAGCCACGGCUAACUACGUGCCAGCCGCCGCCGUAAAAC